rfam:Rattus norvegicus chromosome 5, whole genome shotgun sequence.
GGGGAUUUAGCUCAGUGGCAGAGCGCUUGCCUAGCAAGUGCAAGGCCCUGGGUUCGGUCCCCAGCUCCA